rnacentral:tRNA from 1 species
GCCUUAAUGGUGGAAUUGGUAGACACGCUAGAUUUAGGUUCUAGUCUUGCAAAAGGUAGGAGUUCGAGUCUCCUUUAAGGUA